rnacentral:rRNA from 1 species
AACGAACGCUGGCGGCAUGCCUAACACAUGCAAGUCGAACGAGACCUUCGGGUCUAGUGGCGCACGGGUGCGUAACGCGUGGGAACCUGCCCUUAGGUUCGGAAUAACUCCCCGAAAGGGGUGCUAAUACCGGAUAAUGUCUUCGGACCAAAGAUUUAUCGCCUUUGGAUGGGCCCGCGUUGGAUUGGCUAGUUGGUAGGGUAAAAGCCUACCAAGGCGACGAUCCAUAGCUGGUCUGAGAGGAUGAUCAGCCACACUGGGACUGAGACACGGCCCAGACUCCUACGGGAGGCAGCAGUGGGGAAUAUUGGACAAUGGGCGAAAGCCUGAUCCAGCAAUGCCGCGUGAGUGAUGAAGGCCUUAGGGUUGUAAAGCUCUUUUACCCGGGAUGAUAAUGACAGUACCGGGAGAAUAAGCACCGGCUAACUCCGUG